UUGUCCUGGAGCUCAUCAAAAAGCCUUUGAAGGGAUGGUGCCAGUUCUCCAUCACUGGUUGGGAGUUCUACGGUGCGAAACUUCAAAAGCAGGUUGAGCACCAGCACAGAGAGCAGAUUGCAGCCUGGUGACAGCUCUGACUCUGCAUAUGCUGCAUCCUACCCAGGGAACCUGGCUACGGAGAGUUACAGAUGGCAGAAACAGAAACUGCGUUCUCCUCUUUGAACUCUGCUGUCUUAAAGCAGCUGUUGAAAUCUGCUGUCUCUCUUCAAUGUCUGAGUGUCCUAAUGAGGAAUAAACAAAAGCAUUGAAGGGAAAAAGGAGAGAAACUCCCUGCCUGCCACAGAUCUGUUGGGGUAAUUGGAGGCUCUGCAGGUACUGGGAGUUAUAAUCUCUCCAGGUCUGUGGCUUCAUUGCCUGGCUGCAGAGAGCAUGGUCUAGACAGCAGGUGGAGGGAUUGGUAACACUGAGAUGCUGGAGCAGCUCUGGGUGUCUGACACUGAAGAGCCAGAUGCAUUCUUGUGUCUUCUGAUGAUCAAGUAUCAGUUCUUGUGACUUUCAAUCUCAGUUUCAAGGUAGGAAGAUUGCCAUUGUAACCACCAGGAUUUUUUUGGUCCUAAAAUGAGCUCUGCUCUUUUUCCCUACUCUCUUUCCAGAAACAUCUUGAGCAGGAAGCCAAUUUCACACUUAUUCCCUUCUUCUUUUUAAUGUUGAGCUAAUUGGAGCUGUGUGUCUGGAACUGCCUGGUCCCUGGAGCAUACCCAUGAUGCUUGUCCCACCGUGGGAGGAACUCAGCUGGAGCCCUGCACACCAUCUGGGAGAAGAGGAAGCCUCAGAGCUGUCAGAAGGUUUAAUGGACUUAAGACAGAUGUUGAACGAGGCUCUGCAUAACAAGGGAGUGCCAGGGAUGCUGAGGUGCUGCAGAAGGUGCAUCUCCUUGCUGGGGAAGUGGAUGUGAUGCUCCUGCUGGGAUGAAGAUGUGCAAAUGUUCCCA